CCGGAGUUAAAGUGGCACAUCUUGCGAUCUUCCUGUAACUUGUGUCUCAAAUGCUCCAAUAUCAAAUGUUAAGACGAACGGCAUCCUGGAUAAUCUAUUAUAUUAUAGCAGAUGACUUAUGUUUGUGUACAAU
rnacentral:snoRNA from 1 species